rnacentral:rRNA from 1 species
AUUGAACGCUGGCGGCAGGCCUAACACAUGCAAGUCGAACGAGUGGCGGACGGGUGAGUAAUGUCUGGGAAACUGCCCGAUGGAGGGGGAUAACUACUGGAAACGGUAGCUAAUACCGCAUACCACAGGAUGUGCCCAGAUGGGAUUAGCUAGUGGGUGGGGUAACGGCUCACCUAGGCGACGAUCCCUAGCUGGUCUGAGAGGAUGACCAGCCACACUUGAACGGUGGCACGGUCCAGACUCCUACGGGAGGCAGCAGUGGGGAAUAUUGCACGAUGGGCGCAAGCCUGAUGCAGCCAGGCCGCGAGUAUGAAGAAGGCCUUCGGGUUGUAAAGUACUUUCAGCGAGGAGGCGUUACUCGCAGAAGAAGCACCGGCUAACUCCGUGCCAGCCGCCGCGGUAAUAC